GCCACUCUAGCUCAAUUGGCAGAGCAAUCGCUUCGUAAGCGAUAGGUUCGCGGUUCGAUUCCGCGGGGUGGCUCCA
rnacentral:tRNA from 1 species